AUUGAACGCUGGCGGCAUGCCUUACACAUGCAAGUCGAACGGCAGCACGGGAGCAAUCCUGGUGGCGAGUGGCGAACGGGUGAGUAAAGUAUCGGAACGUGCCCAGUCGUGGGGGAUAACGUAGCGAAAGUUACGCUAAUACCGCAUACGAUCUAUGGAUGAAAGCGGGGGAUCGCAAGACCUCGCGCGAUUGGAGCGGCCGAUAUCAGAUUAGGUAGUUGGUGGGGUAAAGGCUCACCAAGCCGACGAUCUGUAGCUGGUCUGAGAGGACGACCAGCCACACUGGGACUGAGACACGGCCCAGACUCCUACGGGAGGCAGCAGGGUGGAAUUGUGGACAAUGGGCGAAAGCCUGAUCCAGCCAUGCCGCGUGCAGGAUGAAGGCCUUCGGGUUGUAAACUGCUUUUGUACGGAACGAAAAGGUUUGGCCUAAUAAGCUGAGCUCAUGACGGUACCGUAAGAAUAAGCACCGGCUAACUACGUGCCAGCCGCCGCCGUAA
rnacentral:rRNA from 1 species